rnacentral:SRP_RNA from 15 species
GGUGGACAAGGCGGGGGAUGUGGGCGGCACCUGGUACUGGAACCGUUACCCGGGGGCGAUGUGCG